UUCAACAUGAGAGUUUGAUCCUGGCUCAGGAUGAACGCU
rnacentral:rRNA from 1 species